rnacentral:rRNA from 1 species
AACUUUCAACAACGGAUCUCUUGGCUCUGGCAUCGAUGAAGAACGCAGCGAAAUGCGAUAAGUAAUGUGAAUUGCAGAAUUCAGUGAAUCAUCGAAUCUUUGAACGCACAUUGCGCCCGCCAGCACCCUGGCGGGCAUGCCUGUCCGAGCGUCAUUU